AGAAAGAAAAGUAAGGACAAAAAGAAGAAAAGGAGAAGAAAAUUUCAUUUUCUCUUUUCUUCUUCUUCUUCUCUUCCCUUCACCGCCAAGUUUGAAGACAUCCAAGUUCCCUUUAUUUUUUUUUUCUUUUUCCUUCUUCAAUUUGCAGAGAACUUCUAAGAGAGAGUUUGGAAGAAGAAGAGAAAUUUUACUAGAAUUUUUAGGUUGAAGAAGAGGAGGAGAACUCAAGCAAAGUGUAUCAAUGGCUGAAUUUUAGUUCAUUCUGCACAUCACUGGUUUUUAAUUCGGUUUGAACUCUUCAAAAGGAAUUAAGAGAAAACAGGGCAGUUGGUUUUCACUCGAAAUCAGGAGGUCUCUGGUUUUUCUUGUAUUUCAGAGUGUAUCGGUGGAGUUAGAAUUUCUAUUUGGAACAAGUUAAAGAGGUCGUGUGCGCGCGAUUCUGGAAGUGGUUCUGUUUUGAGGAUUAUAUGUGUUUAUGCACGGGGAAUCAGAUUUAUAUGUCUUCAGGUAAGUUUUAGAGGAUCUCAAAAUGAAGAGUUUGAUAUAAAGAACACUCAUUUUGGUUAAGUAUUGAGAAAGUUAUAGUUCUUUGAAGUUUAUGUUAGAAAUCUGGAAAUUUUAGAGAAUUGUUGAAAUAGGAUUUUAUUUCUUAAGCUUUGUUUUCGUGAGCGUCAUCUUUGGUGCGACAUGUUAUGUAUAUCUUUAGGAAACCAGAAUGUUUAAGGUUUUAAUACUCGGUUGGGUUGUUGGCAGGCCGAGAAGAAUUAAACCGAGCUUAUAGACCAAGGAUCUAGCCCAAGACUGUGAGUGACAAAACCAACUUUGAAAUAUUUUCCAUAACUGUUAUUAUGAUUGAAUGCGAUAAAUGUUUAUUUACGAAGCCAUGAAAGGUAUUUGAAUUUCAUGACUAUUUUCAAGUAUACAUUUGGAGACUAGAUUUCUUAAAGAAAUUUAUGCUAGCACGUAGAUAUUAAAUGUUUGGAAAGUAUUUAAACCACAAUAUUUUAAGCAAAGCAUGAAUUAGUAUGAAGUUUUGUUUUAAGAACUACAAUUUUCCACGAAAGAGCUGAGUAAAGUUCGAGCUUUGUGUAAAAUUUAUAAGCAGACAUGUUUUAAUAUUUUAUGAUGAUUUAUGAAAUUUUCAUUAACUACAUGAUGAGAUCUUGAGCCUGAGGCUAGAGAUUACCGUGUGCACACUGGUUAGAUUUCGUUGUUGACGUUGAGUGUACUCCAUAACAAUGAUGCUGUCGUGAGUGCUGGGCGGGCCCCACUACGACAAAGACGAUGGGAGUGCUGGGCGGGCCCCACUACAUCGUAGUGCUUGUAAACGUUGUUGUACUAGGUGUACCCUACACAACGUAGAUUCGUCAUGUUAGUUAAAAUGCUUCGAUAUACUUGAUAUGCCUUGCUAGAUUUCAAUGAUGAACAUGCUGAGUAUUUAAGGAAGCUAUUCUUACUAUUACACAUUUACAUUUACGACUUGUAUAAACAGAUUUAUAUGUGUAAAGUUUUCACGUGCUCUUAUCUUUAAAUUCAUAGUUUUAAACUGAGUCACUCACUGAGCUCCAUAGCUCACCCUUUCCAAAAUGUUUUACCCAUUUUCCAGGUAGAGAUCGACUUCCCGGUGCCUGAUAGACUGCCUUAGUCUGCUGAAGCUUCAUUAUCGAUUGCCAGUAUGUGUUUUGAGUUGGGCAUAAAGUCUGUUGUGUUGUGAUGUAUUCACACCCUUGUAUGUUAUAGAUACUCCACAGUUUGUAUAAGCUUUAGGAGCUGUAGUUGUGUAAAUUUUGUUGGUUAUAUUUUGAUUAAGGUGUCUUUAGGUUUACUCGUGAAAUUGGUAAAUUUUGAGGUACACUUCAUGUAUGUGUUUGAUUAGCUGUGUUUGACUAGCCUAGGAUCCGAUGUGUUUUGUGGCAUGUACAAUAGUUUAUAUACUAGAUUGGCAAGUUCAUCACAUGAAAGUUUUAAGCAGAGUCGACAGAUAUAGGUACAGAAUAACGUUGUUCGUCGGCUUCACGCCAUCUUUCGGUCUAAGGUAGCAGGUAGUUCGGGAGGGGGUGUGACACGCGUUGCAUUGAAGAUGAUGAUCGUCUACGUCGCAUUGAAGUGAUGAUCAUCUGUGUCGCAUUAAAGAUGAUGAUUGCUUACGUCGCAUAAAGAUGAAGAUGUUGAUCGCCUCGGCUACAACAUAUGUGAGAAAAUGAAGAUGAUGCUCUUCUCGGUUGCAAUGUUUUAAGAUGACAAUCUUCUCUGUUGUAACAUAUUUGAGACGAUGACCUUCUCGGCUGCAACAUUUUUUAGACGACGAAAUUCUCGGCUACAACAUAUUUGAGACGACGAUCUUCUCAGCUACAACAUAUUUGAGACGACAAUAUUCUCGGCUGCAAUAUACUUGAGACGAUGAUCUUCUUGGCUGCAACAUAUUUGAGCCGACUAUCUUCUCAGUUGUAACAUAUUUGAGAUGAUCAUCCUCUUGAUGUAAUUUAUUGAAGAUGAAGAUCUUCUUACUGUAACAUAUUUGCGAUGACGAGCUUCUCGGCUGCAACACAUGUGUGAAGAUGAAGAUGAAGAUCCUCUCGGCUGCAACACAUGGAAAGAUCCUCGUCUGUAACAUAUCGAAGAGGAGUAGAGCUCGCUAGUCAACAUUUUAGAGAGAGGCAAAGCUGCACCUGCAACGAUGAACUUUAAAGCCUUUGAACUUGAACUUGAAGAAGCAACGAUGAAGUUUCUUGAGGAAGAUGAAGCUAGCUAUCUUAAGAAGGUAGACAAGUAAACAUCUCUGUUGUCACCAAAGAAGCCUAGCUACGGUUCACAAGAGUCUGGAGGCUACACACAAAGAUUUUAAGAACUUUAAGGGAAAGCUUUAA